rfam:Sus scrofa chromosome X.
CUCUAGCAAGUCUAGUGGCUAGGAUUCCUGGCUUUCAAGCAGGCUGCCCAGGUUCAAUUCCUGAGCAGAGA